GUUGUAUGGUUAAGUGACUAAGCGUACACGGUGGAUGCCUGGGCAGUCAGAGGCGAUGAAGGACGUACUAACUUGCGAUAAGCGCAGAUAAGGCAGUAAGAGCCGUUUGAGUCUGCGAUUUCCGAAUGGGGAAACCCAACUGCAUAAGCAGUUACUGUUAACUGAAUACAUAGGUUAACAGAGCAAACCGGGGGAACUGAAACAUCUAAGUACCCCGAGGAGAAGAAAUCAACCGAGAUUCCGGUAGUAGCGGCGAGCGAACCUGGAUUAGCCCUUAAGCACUCGGUGAAGUAGGUGAACAAGCUGGAAAGCUUGGCGAUACAGGGUGAUAGCCCCGUAACCGACGCUUCAUCGAGCGUGAAAUCGAGUAGGGCGGGACACGUGAUAUCCUGUCUGAA
rnacentral:rRNA from 1 species